GUAUCAUAAAGACUAUAUUAGUAGUAGUAAUUUUCUGAAAAAAGUUUCCAAACCAGGAUGGCCACAGCAGCCACAAAAGGAAGUAAACAAGAACAAAUCCUGAUGGAGCAAUUUAUGAAGACAGGCAGCACAGAGGGAGAAGAACCUGUCUGUCAACCCCACACAAGCUUUCCCAGAUCCCACAGUUCACAAGAAGCAAAACAGAAGAUUCUAAACACCAAAGUGGCCGAGCGUGGUGGCUCAAGCCUGUAAUCCCAGCACCGUGGGAGGCCAAGGCAGGCAGAUCACUUGAGGUCAGGAGUUUGAGACCACCCUGGCCAACAUGAAGCAUUUCAAACAUACUGAUUAAAAAAGAAAAAUUAAAAACUCAGCUUUAACACUAAGAACUGAGGAAGAAUACCAAAUAGGAAGAAAUAAAGAUGUGGAAACACAGUAACACAAAAUAUUACUGGUUCUAAACCAAGGAUGUAUCCCUGAAUCUGGGGAGCUCUCUUAUCAAAAUACACAUGCUGGAACCCUACCAAAGGAAUAAUAAAUCUGGAAUGAAGCCCUGACUGUCUAAUUAGGAAAAGACUCCUUCCUGGAAUUCUGCACAUCUCCCUACACCUUAGUGACGGUUAAAUAAAUAAUUAUUAAGCUUCUGGA